AGCGAACGCUGGCGGCAGGCCUAACACAUGCAAGUCGAACGAACCUUUCGGGGUUAGUGGCGGACGGGUGAGUAACACGUGGGAACGUGCCUUUAGGUUCGGAAUAACUCAGGGAAACUUGUGCUAAUACCGAAUGUGCCCUUCGGGGGAAAGAUUAAUCGCCUUUAGAGCGGCCCGCGUCUGAUUAGCUAGUUGGUUGAGGUAAUGGCUCACCAAGGCGACGAUCAGUAGCUGGUCUGAGAGGAUGAUCAGCCACAUUGGGACUGAGACACGGCCCAAACUCCUACGGGAGGCAGCAGUGGGGAAUCUUGCGCAAUGGGCGAAAGCCUGACGCAGCCAUGCCGCGUGAAUGAUGAAGGUCUUAGGAUUGUAAAAUUCUUUCACCGGGGACGAUAAUGACGGUACCCGGAGAAGAAGCCCCUGCUAACUUCGUG
rnacentral:rRNA from 1 species